UAUUUCUCCGUUCGGGGAAGGAUGAGAAGCUUCGACUAAGGUUCGAUUCGAGCGCAGCGAGAAAGCGUUGCCGCAGGCAACGACCCGAAGGGCGAAGCGCGCAGCGCUGAGUAAUCCUUCCCCCACCACCA
rnacentral:sRNA from 2 species